rnacentral:rRNA from 1 species
GAUGAACGCUAGCGAUAGGCUUAACACAUGCAAGUCGAGGGGCAGCAUGGUCUUAGCUUGCUAAGACUGAUGGCGACCGGCGCACGGGUGCGUAACGCGUAUGCAACUUGCCUCACAGAGGGGGAUAACCCGUCGAAAGACGGACUAAUACCGCGUACACUUGGGAUAGGGCAUCCUGACCCAAGGAAAUGAACUUCGCUGUGAGAUAGGCAUGCGUCCCAUUAGCUAGUUGGUGAGGUAACGGCUCACCAAGGCGACGAUGGGUAGGGGAACUGAGAGGUUGAACCCCCACACUGGUACUGAGACACGGACCAGACUCCUACGGGAGGCAGCAGUGAGGAAUAUUGGUCAAUGGGCGAGAGCCUGAACCAGCCAAGUCGCGUGAAGGAUGACUGUCUUAUGGAUUGUAAACUUCUUUUAUACGGGAAUAACAAGAGUCACGUGUGGCUCCCUGCAUGUACCGUAUGAAUAAGCAUCGGCUAACUCCGU